UACGUAGGGUGCAAGCGUUGUCCGGAAUUAUUGGGCGUAAAGAGCUCGUAGGCGGUCUGUCGCGUCGAAUGUGAAAACCCGGGGCUCAACCCCGGGCCUGCAUUCGAUACGGGCAGACUAGAGUUCGGUGAGGGAGACUGGAAUUCCUGGUGUAGCGGUGAAAUGCGCAGAUAUCAGGAGGAACACCGGUGGCGAAGGCGGGUCUCUGGGCCGAUACUGACGCUGAGGAGCGAAAGCGUGGGGAGCGAACAGG
rnacentral:rRNA from 1 species